rnacentral:lncRNA from 1 species
AGAACUGAGAUCACUAAACCAAGAAGAGGAGGCACCUUGGACCUGGGUAAAGGCUCCUUUCCAAGCUACUGCACAAAGAGGCCCAGGAGAAAUCAAAAGAUCAUGGACUGUUUUUGCUAUUGCAUGUGUUCCACCUUCAGUAUGGACUGUUGCCCUCCUUGCAGAUGUCGAGAUGGAACCUCACCAGGGCUUCCUUCUGAAAUGAAACUUCCAGAAAGCAGCAGACAGACCACAGAACAUCCUUCCUAGAAAAAGAAAAGCCGUCUGUAGACCAGCAACAGCUCUGAUCACAUGACUGCAAGCAAGGUUUCCAAAGAAAUCAAAAUGAUAGCUUGAAGAAUGAGCAUUGACAAUUUCUUUGUAGAAAGAUUCAAAUUCACAAUGUGAUCAAUUAA